CUGAAGACGAUAGCCACAGCAAGCACGAGGUCUUUUGUUGUGGAAACGUUCGGCCACAGAUGCGGUGCAAUUUGAUCAUCUCUACAUCAUUUGGACUUUGCGUCAUUUGUAAAUAGCAGAGGAUAAUGGUCAUGCAAGACUGAGGAGAUGUCCACCAGCUUAACUUGGCCUAAAAGAACCAAGGGUGUUGAACAAGGCAAAUAAAUCUUCAGAUGAGUUAGUGACAACAUAUCUAAGGACAGCCUAGGGAGCUACACGUACGAACUGAUUAGCAAUCACGUCUGCUGUUGGACUGAAGCAGGACAGACACACUUUCUUAGGGACAUUUCCCCAAAUGUUGAUAUGUUGAUCAAAAAUUCUUGAAUUGGAUUUCGAACUGUGAAAGAAGGAGUCAACUUCUUGCUUGACAGUUGGGAAGAUUUCUGCAACUGCCUAUCCAAAAUAACAAUAUACACCAAACCAGGCCUUGGUCCAAUGACACUAAAGAGAAAUCACUGACGCUAUAAAUAUUGAUUUCAACUAUAAAUCUUAACCAAAGUGAGAAUCAAACAAUCGACAUCAAAAUGUUUGACAAACACCAACUUAAGGAGUUCCCGAGUUUCAAAAUGGCACUAAACAUCGUACGAUGGUUGUCGCUUUUGGCGAUAUGUUACAUAAUCAUCGUCCACCACUUCGGACAUCAGACAACGUGUUUCAAUUUCAAAAACCUGACCGGCGUUUUUGAAUCUCAAGCGACAGGGAAACAGGUAAUCAAUGACUUGUGUGCGGAGUUUGAAUUCCGGACAGAUCGUUUUUAUUUCAUUCUGGAGGGAACGAUACUAUGCGUACUACAAUGUUUAUGGUAUCUCGCGGCAAAGAAGCUGACAGAUAUGGAAACGCUGAUGAAACUAUUUCACGAGUUUGCGAUGCAGCGCCUCCAUGAUAUUGACAAAAUCAAAACAUACGUCCAGAGUUACAAUACGCUGAAAAACACGAUUAAAACAACAUUCGUUCAAAUGUUGGCCACCCAGCCGGAAAAUAGUUUGAUGCAGACGAUACUUCGCAUGAAUGAACAGACUCGUCUCGUCUGCUGGUUGUAUUUCACAAAACUUUGCCUCCAAAUGAUCGUCAAUGUUUUUUUCAUCGUCUUUUCGUGCGUUUACAUCAUGGAGCACAAGGACGCCACCUAUGUCUGCUCAGACGAGAUCAGGCAGUUUGACCCCUUAGCCAUUGAGACGCACUGCAUGACCCCGUAUGCAAAUUUCACCCUCAUUCUCCACAUCAUCAAUGUCACUGCCCUCUUUUACUUGUUUUUGGUACUGCUGGUUGACAUUGUUUUCAUGUUCGUGAAUCUUUUGAAUCCGAUCGAGGAUUUCAACGCGACGUUUUUCUCGCUGGAUGUGUGGCUUAGUAAUAUGAGUCUGAAGAAGAAUCUAGGGGCGUUGGCUGUCAUUGAUUUGUAUGGCUUCCCUAAGAAUGGUAAACACCUCUUGAGUGAGAGGUUGAUUUGACGGAGAGGAGAACGGGAGAAGAAUGAGGUAGUCACCACAGUUCAAAGCCCUCAAAAGAAUACAUAGCUGCCUAGCCUAAAGACAGGCGACUGCUGCCUGCUUGUAGCACCAUGAGUCAUCCAGGUAACCUUCAAAUGCAUAAUACCAGUAUGCAUUGGCCGAUGCACUAAGAGAAUGGCUACUUGUGGUGCUCAAGGAGGGAGUGAUCAUGGAUCUGGGUUCAGCCACCUUUUAUAAGCGACUGGAGUCUUUAAGUCCAGCAGUAUGUAAACCUUUGCCAAAAAAGUGUAAAUCAGUCACAGAAUAUGUAACAAUUGGAUUUCCUGAUGAUUUUUGCAUGUUUUUAAAAGAUUUAUACAUCGUAAAACCUACAAAUCGGACAAUAUUUUUCCUCAUGUCCUAUCUCAUAUCUAAGCCAGACCUCGCCCCGUCCAGGCCAACACAUGUUCAAUGCAACUCCACACACAAUCGAUUAAAACGGCUCUGGUACACACGACAACAGGUGAUGCAAAUAGUCCUAUUGUUGUGGAAGCUGGACUGCAGCGAGCUAUUGUUGGAUUAUCUGUUAACCCAUUACUGAGCGAUUGUUCACUGCAACAUGUUGCCUUGAACAGGUUUUGCUGGUUUUGAAAGGAUCGGGUGUAACAGGUCACUGCCCAUGACGAUAAUAAAAGACACAUUUUCACCGAA